CUGGCCAGUCGCUGAGAGGUGGCAAAGAAAGCUGGCACUGCGACUCCUGAUGUCUGCCUUCUCCGAGCAGGUGACGAAGGCAAGCUGUUGCCUCGAUUCCCACAGUAUAUUUUCAUUAAGCUGUGGCAGAUGGCAGUGGAGGUCACCGCUUCCACACCAUCAUCCUUUCAGCCGAAAGGUGUCAGGGAAUCUGACACCUCAAUUACUAAAGCAGGAUUCAUCCAAACAGCAUCCAGGAUGAAGGGGGAAAGGGAAUUAGAAAAGCUGCUCUCCUAAUUUCCAUGAAUCCUCACCUUUGAGAGAAAAUCUGGGAUGAGAACUUCCCUGAUAAACAACACAUUUCUGCCUAACAUCCCGACACAGAAGCAGCUGCUCUGAGAACCAGCCACAGACACCAGAAAAAAGGCAAUUAAGUUCUCGUGGAAAUGAGAGCAAAAAGCUCUCCUUGGAAAAGGCCGUUGAUGCUAAUGAGCUACACCAAAGUCAAGGGAGGAUUGAUUGAUCUUACUCCAGCAGAGAACUGCUGCUCGCUUCCCUCUAGCCUGUGGAACGUGGAACAUGAAGUGAAACAAAGCUGCCAUGUUUUGCUUCACGAGGGUUUUCAGAAGUCAGCUGACCUGCAGAGACACCACUGCAACAUCACCAUUGACUUCUCUGUGUUCAACGUGAAAUGCGGUUCUGAUACGGCGUUAUCCACAGCAAAGAAGAUGAAGUGAGAGUCUGACUUCAUCAAUGAGCAAGCAAAGCAGAACUUCUUUGUUCUUAUUUUGGGAUCUCAAAAUCAUAAUACGGUUUUGGAAUGAUUAUGAAAUAUCUCAGAUUGGCAGCUCUGCGUGGUGUUACUCAUUGAGUUUCCUUCAACAACAAAAACACCAAAAAGCAUCAUCCUACAAGGAGAUAACAAAUGAGUUCAACAAGACCGAGCAACACCAAAGUCUGUGCUUCCUUUGUGAGCAGUUUCCCCUUAGUGUUUAGGAAUGACAUCAAAACUCCCAACACGAAGACAUCAGAGAUGUUUGGGAGAUGAAAACAUCCAGGACUCAAACUUCAAAUAAAAACAACCCCACCAAAAC